ensembl:snRNA U1 U1 spliceosomal RNA
AUGCUUAUUCGGCAGAGGAGAUACCAUAAUUUCAAACAUAGUUUUCCCAGGGCAAGGCUUACCCAUCUCCCUCUGAAUAUGCUGAACCCUAAGACUUCCCCAAAUGUGGGAAACUUGAUUGCAGAAUUUGUGAUAGUAGGGAAUUUGUUUGUGCUUUCCUCU